UUUCGAUCUCUUUGAACAAUAGCAUGCGCAAGGAGACAAGGUGAAAAGUUCAACCCUGAUGAAGACAUCUUACUUCAUCCUCACGACCCUCAGUGCCCACCACCAGAAGGCACCGCGCAAGCGCAGACGGGAGGAGUUUAUGGAAAUGACUUCUUGGAGCUAAUUUUAAUACUAAGCGGGGACAGGUUAUGCAUAUGUAUAGGCGUACUGGGA